AGAGUUUGAUCCUGGCUCAGAGCGAACGNNNNNNGGCGUGCCUAACACAUGCAAGUCGAACGUGAACGGGGGCAACCCCUAGUAAAGUGGCGUACGGGUGAAUAACGCGUAGGCAAUCUACCCCAGAGUCUGGAAUAACCGGCCGAAAGGCUGGCUAAUACUAGAUAGAGCGACGGAAUCCGUAAUUGGGUUUUUCGGGAAAGGGAGGGAGCAUCCCCCUUGCUCUGGGAUGGCCUGCGUCCCAUCAGCUAGUUGGUAAGGUAACGGCUUACCAAGGCGAUGACGGGUAGCUGGUCUGAGAGGAUGAUCAGCCACACUGGAACUGAAACACGGUCCAGACUCCUACGGGAGGCAGCAGUGGGGAAUCUUGCGCAAUGGACGAAAGUCUGACGCAGCCACGCCGCGUGAGUGAAGAAGGCCUUCGGGUUGUAAAGCUCUGUCGGAGGGGACGAAAAUGCUUAGGGUUCACAGCCCUAGGAACUGACGGUACCCUUAAAGGAAGCACCGGCUAACUCUGUGCCAGCAGCCGCGGUAAUACAGAGGGUGCAAGCGUUGCUCGGAAUCAUUGGGCGUAAAGGGCAAGUAGGUGGUCUCAUUUGUCUAGGGUGAAAUCCUUGAGCUUAACUCAAGAAGUGCCCUAGAAACGGUGGGACUAGAGUUCUGGAGAGGGUCGUGGAAUUCCCGGUGUAGCGGUGAAAUGCGUAGAGAUCGGGAGGAACACCAGAGGCGAAGGCGGCGACCUGGACAGAUACUGACACUCAACUGCGAAAGCGUGGGGAGCAAACAGGAUUAGAUACCCUAGUAGUCC
rnacentral:rRNA from 1 species